GAUGAAGAACGUAGUGAAAUGCGAUAAGUAAUGUGAAUUGCAGAAUUCCGUGAAUCAUCGAAUCUUUGAACGCACAUUGCGCCCCCUGGUAUUCCGGGGGGCAUGCCUGUCCGAGCGUCAUUGCAACCUUCAAGCGCGGCUUGUGUGUUGGGUCUCGUCCCCCGUGGACGGGCCCGAAAGGCAGUGGCGGCGUCCCGACAUGGUGCCCGAGCGUAUGGGAAUCCUCUUCCGCUCGAAUCGGCCCAUGCGGCGCUGGUCGUAACCAAAUUUUUUACCGGUUGACCUCGGAUCAGGUAGGGAUACCCGCUGAACUUAAGCAUAUCAAUAAGCGGAGGA
rnacentral:misc_RNA from 1 species